rnacentral:lncRNA from 1 species
CCCGACCGCGCCAUCGAGCUCGCGGUGAGCUCCUCUGCCGAUUCCCCCUUUUUCCCCUUCCGUUCGUCACCGUUUGCCGUCGUCCCCGAGCUCGGCCGUCCUCGUCCAUGGCCAUGCUCAAGUUUCCGUGUACGUGCGCGACCCCAGCGCCGCGCGCGCCUUAGCCGUCCGCCGCCACGCUCCUGUUGCUGUGCUGCUGCCCGUCUUGCUUGCCGCAGCCGCUGCUCCCGCUAGUCUUUGCCGCCGCUACCGUCGUGCACUCGUCGUCUCCGCGGCCGGAGCUCUGUUCCCGCGCGCCGUGCCUCGGUCCUGGCCGCGCCCUGCCAUGCAACCGCAGCCGCGUGCGGCAACCCCUGCUCCUGGUCGCGCCUGCUGCUCCGACGUGCACCCGUUGCCGCCCGUUGCAGUGCUGUUUCUGCUCCCGCAGCUACACUGCCGUUUCUGCUGCUGUCGGCUACUGCUUUUGCUGAAGCGCUGCCGCCGCUGCUCGUAGCUGCUUGCUACCGACUAGUCGCUGAUGCUCUGCUAUGCUGCCACUUCCGCAUUGAGCUGCUACCACUGCUGCUCAAUCACGUUGAGCUCACGCGAGGCCAUGGCAAACACAACCCGAUGGCUGGCUAUGUCCCUGCUAUGUAUGACCAGGCUUUGUAGCGUAUGUGUGUGUUAGGUUAGUAGUGGCCCACUGCCAUGUGGCCCCCGCUUUUUAGGUUAGUUAAUUACUACUUUGUCUAACAUGCAUAUGGCAGUGGAACCCCCACCACUAAUUAGGCUGAAUUAAAACAAUCUGUUUAACACAUGAGUGUAUGCCAUAUGGGUCCCGUUUUGACCCUGUUGACCGAUCAACAUUGACUGGUCAACUGCUGACUUUAACACUGACCCCCCACAUUCAUACACUAUGGCUAGAAUAACACUAGGUGACAAAACUAAUUUCUGUUUUAUUUUCGAAUUAAAAGAAUUCCAAAACACUAUUUAAAACUUCAGAAAAUCAUAGUAAAAUAACCGUAAGUCAGAUGAAAAAGUUCUAUACAUGAAAGUUGCUCAGAAAAACGUGACGAAUCCGAAUACGCCCUUCGUUCAUCUAUCACGCGUACCUUGCACAACGAACAUGGAACCAUCCCCCUCUGUUUCGUUUGUCCGAAAAUACCAAACUUCGGGAAAACAUUCCGGGAUGUUCUCCCCCUUCGCCGGUAUCGUGUAACACUGCGUUAGAACACCUGUAGCGAUGCUUUUGUCUUGUCAUGCAUAGUACUAUAUUUGUUUGCUUUCUAUUUACUGUUUCUCCCCGCUCUUCUUCUCCGGUAGAGCCCGAGACCGCUGCUGAUGCCACUGUGAUUGACUACGUCACCGACGACCCUUCUUCCCUUUCAUCGGAGCUUCCAGGCAAGCCCCCCUUUGAUCAUCCCGAUAUUGCCCAUUCCAUUCUCUCAUGCUUGCAUUAGAUUUUGCUACUGUUAUUGAUUGCUCCUAUUCUAAUGCAUAACCUACUUUUGUAACCGCUCAUUGUACCUUACCUGCUUAUCCUAAACUGCUUAGUAUAGGCUGGUUAGAGAUCCAUCAGUGACCCCCACCUUGUUCUUGUUGCCCC